rnacentral:lncRNA from 1 species
CCUUACAUUUUUUCUCAUAAAUUAAAAUGGUUAGUCACAUAUCAAUCAAUAAUCAUAAAUAACACCUAAAAAUUAUGGGAUGGAAUAUCAAUAUAAGUGAAUUAUUAGGUUUUUUUUUGUAACCUGUAAAUUAUUAGGUUUUUUUUACACAGUGAAUUAUUAGGUUUAAAAGAACCAAACAUAGGAAUACAUGAUUAAUUAAUUAUUUGAUUGAUUAAUUAGACAACUGCACUUUACAUAAAGUCUAUGAUAGUGUCUUAAAAUGGAAAAAGUAAGUCAAGUAUUUAGAAACUAACACUAAUAAGUAACACCCUCCUAUUUUCCUAAGUCGUAGUACUCAAACAAAACAAAAGAUGAUGGGUCAAACAUACAAAACAAUGGACCCAUCAAAUCACGUUUUUAGUCACAAUAAUAAUGUCUUAAACCUCUCACUUUGCAUCACAUGAUUCCAAAN